CCUACGGGUGGCAGCAGUAGGGAAUCUUCGGCAAUGGGGGCAACCCUGACCGAGCAACGCCGCGUGAGUGAAGAAGGUUUUCGGAUUGUAAAGCUCUGUCGUAAGAGAAGAACGUGUGUGAGAGUGGAAAGUUCACACAGUGACGGUAACUUACCAGAAAGGGACGGCUAACUACGUGCCAGCAGCUGCGGAAAUACGUGGGUCCCGAGCGUUAUCGGGUUUAAUUGGGCGAAAGGCGAGCGCAGGCGGUUGGAUAAGUCUGAAGGUAAAGGCUGUGGCUCAACCAUAGUAUGCUUUGGAAACUGUUGAACUUGAGUGCAGGAGGGGAGAGUGGAAUUCCAUGUGUAGCGGUGGAAUGCGUAGAUAUAUGGAGGAACACCGGUGGCGAAGGCGGCUCGCUGGACUGUGACUGACGCUGAGGCUCGAAAGCGUGGGUAGCGAACAGGAUUAGAUACCCGAGUAGUC
rnacentral:rRNA from 1 species